UGAAACUAGUCAACAGCACUGGACCAAUGAGGAGAGAGGAGACGCAGAGGACUGAGGAGACACAGGAAAUCCUGCUGGAAAUCCAGAGAAGUUUCCUGAUCCCAUGACGAUGAGUUGAUCAGAUACGGUGACCAACAGGUGCCAACGUGCAGCAAACAGAUUCAAGGAUGGCCUUUCAACCCUGGAUGUCAUUUAUGCUUUGGAGCUUCGUGCUUCUGUGUUCAGGCCCUUUAUGUGCACAAGUGUGGAAAAGCUGACAUCAGAAAUGUUUGAGGAAAUCUUUGAGGUUCAGCUCAGCGAAAAGGGCAGCACCAGACGACAAGAAGAAACCAGACUGCUAGGAUUCUCCUAGAGACGGACCAAACCUCGCUUUCCUGUUCAAACACUAUCAAAAUACCAAAGCCCAAGACAUACGAUCAGUUCCAAAAGAGACAUGAACUUCGGGAUACAAAACUCUUUGGACUUCAAAUACAGAAUCACAAAACUCAAAUGUGGAUGUUGGCCUGUGAAGGAAGAUGUUAACUUGUGAAACCUGCUCUGUCAAAGUUCUCACUCUGCUGCGUUGUGGUUGUUGGACACACACCUUUGAACUUUAGACUCGUUCAUUUCCGAGUCUUGUGUAGUUUUCUACAUAGGAUUCCCAAGUCAUGGAUGCACUAGGCCACUGUCUCUGGAGGUCCUCAAACUGUCCCUAAAGACGGUCAUGGCCACAUUGACUGCUGUUUGACUCGGUCAUAAACUGUCCCAAUUCCUCCUGGGAGUCUGGGAACCCACAGUCUGUUCUGCCAAACCGAGGAGUAAAAUACGCACAGGACGCAUAGAUUAGUUAUAUAUUUACAUUUCUUCAUUCAACUGUCACUACCAACUGUUAUGACUAUUGUUGAAAACUGUUGUAAUGCUUGAUUGUAUUUAUGUCAUCAGAAAUUGUUACAAUAAAAGUGACAUACUAUUAUCACAUGGCUGAUUUUUUUUGUUUUGACAAAUUAUUUUUGAAAGCUGCCAAACAGGCAACAAAUUAACCAGAUGUUAAUUAAAUAAAUGA